ACUCACCUGAAAGCUGAUAUACAGCCAGUCAAAGAGAGUGCGUCCUGGAACCCCAGGCUAUUCAACCGGCAAUCAAGAUGCACACUGGUACAUGUAUCCUCCGGAUGGCAGAGACCAGAAAGGUCACAAGGGGUCCAGGAAGUCUCAGCUGCAGUGGUCCAGGAGUGAGCAGUGUCCAGCCAGUGAAGUUUUGUCCCAUCCUCAUUGCCAAAACUGUAGGGGAGGAACACUGCAAUACCCAUUAUCACACCAUCUUGAGGAAACAGAUAUUGCCCUCCUGAACUUUGGUAAGAAGCAUGACAGAUACAGCAGUCCAGAACUGACUACUCCAGGAAAGAAAGGUUUUGCAUAUACCCUUCUCCCAGUAAGCGUAAAGGAAACUACUUUAAAAAAAUCUCUGUGAAAGGAUAAGCCACUUUCCAUGUAGGUAAUAUUCAUUGUCCAUAUUUGUAUUUCCCUGAAUAUAAUUGGUAAAAACUCCAUUUAAAAUGCU
rnacentral:lncRNA from 1 species